rnacentral:lncRNA from 1 species
AUUACUUCUGAGGAAAAAGAAAGUGGAGAUUGGAGGCAAUUAUUUGGAUAAAUCAGGCCCAAGUUACCAACACUUUCCAGAGACAGAAAAGAUGGGGUUUGAGGAGCAUCGAUUAGAUGGAGUUUGACUGCCUAUGACAGUUGGCUUCUAUAAGGUUUCUCCAGGUGGCAGGUCAGAUCCACAACAAAUAUAUUGGGAGUAGGAACACAGAAGACCAUGCCUGUGAGUUUCCCAUUCAGCUCAGGGAUGCAGCUGAAGCAGCUUACUGAGCUUGGGAGAAAAGCUGAAAAGAAGCUAGAUAUUCUAAGAAGUAGGUAUGAAGAGUACAUUUCAGGCACUGGGGACUGCUUUGGCAAAUGUACAUUUGGCAAAUGUAGGAGAUAGAAUACUGAAUGAGAGGAAUAGUAAAUAGGCUAGUUUGACUGGAGUGCAAAGUGUGAGAAGGGGAAUGAUUCAGACUGUGAAGGGCUUUGCAUUUGGG